rnacentral:misc_RNA from 1 species
GAUGAAGAACGUAGCGAAAUGCGAUAAGUAAUGUGAAUUGCAGAAUUCAGUGAUUCAUCGAAUCUUUGAACGCACCUUGCGCCCUUUGGCUAUUCUGAAGGGCAUGCCUGUUUGAGUAUCGUGAACACCUCAACUCUCAUGGUCUGCCAUGAUGAGCUUGGACUUUGGGGGUCUUGCUGGCCUACUGUCAGCUCCUCUCAAAUGAAUCAGCUUACCAGUGUUUGGUGGCACCACAGGUGUGAUAACUAUCUACGCUUGUGGUUUUCUGCCAGGUAACCUCCAGUGAUGGAGGUUCGCUGGAGCUCACAAAUGUCUCUCCUCAGCGAGGACAGCUUUUUGAACGUUUGAUCUCAAAUCAGGUAGGACUACCCGCUGAACUUAAGCAUAUCAAUAAGCGGAGGA